rnacentral:rRNA from 1 species
UGGGGAAUCUUGCGCAAUGGCCGAAAGGCUGACGCAGCGACGCCGCGUGUGGGAGGAAGCUCUUCGGGGUGUAAACCACUGUUGCCCGGGACGAACAGCCUCUUUCGAGGGGCCUGACGGUACCGGGUGAGGAAGCACCGGCUAACUCUGUGCCAGCAGCCGCGGUAAUACAGAGGGUGCGAGCGUUGUCCGGAAUCACUGGGCGUAAAGGGCGCGUAGGUGGUGGCUUAAGCGUGCGGUGAAAGCUCGGAGCUCAACUCCGAGUCGGCCGUGCGAACUGGGCUCACUGGAGCAUAGUAGAGGCAGGUGGAAUUCCGGGUGUAGCGGUGGAAUGCGUAGAGAUCCGGAAGAACACCGGUGGCGAAGGCGGCCUGCUGGGCUAUGGCUGACACUGAGGCGCGACAGCGUGGGGAGCAAACA